rnacentral:tRNA from 1 species
GGUUCCAUAGUGUAGCAGUUAGCACAUCUGCUUUACGCACAGAAGAUCCUGGGUUCCCGCCCCAGUAUAGCCA